GACGAACGCUGGCGGCGUGCUUGACACAUGCAAGUCUAGGGGGCCCGCAAGGGUCACCGGCGAACGGGUGCGUAACACGUGAGCGACCUACCCUGGAAUGGGGGAUAGCCGGCCCAACGGCCGGGUAAUACCGCAUACGCUCUUCGAGCUGCAUGGCUUGGAGAGGAAACCUUUUGGGUUCCUGGAGGGGCUCGCGGCCUAUCAGCUAGUUGGUGAGGUAACGGCUCACCAAGGCAAUGACGGGUAGCUGGUCUGAGAGGAUGGCCAGCCACAUUGGGACUGAGAAACGGCCCAGACUCCUACGGGAGGCAGCAGUGGGGAAUAUUGCGCAAUGGUCGAAAGACUGACGCAGCGACGCCGCGUGGAGGAUGACGCCCUUCGGGGUGUAAACUCCUGUUGCUCGGGACGAACCUCCCCAUUCGUGGGGACUGACGGUACCGGGUGAGGAAGCACCGGCUAACUCUGUGCCAGCCGCCGCAGUAAGAC
rnacentral:rRNA from 1 species